GAGCAGUUUUACAAGCACCACAUCUGCCACACACAGGUAGCAAAUACCACUGGAAGGUCCAAGAUCCAGGGGCCCACAUCUGCUAAGGGCUUUCAUGCCGUGUCAUCCCAUGAGGAAAGACAGAGGCAAGGAGAGUCAGAUCCAGAGAAAAGUGACACAUCUAGAUACAAAUUCUAGGAUCUUCCCGCCUUUCAGUAUCAUCACUGCUUUUCCAC
rnacentral:lncRNA from 1 species